UACGUAGGGGGCAAGCGUUGUCCGGAUUUAUUGGGCGUAAAGAGCGUGUAGGCGGCUUUACAGGUCCGUUGUGAAAACUCGAGGCUCAACCUCGAGACGCCGGUGGAAACCGUAAAGCUAGAGUCCGGAAGAGGAGAGUGGAAUUCCCGGUGUAGCGGUGAAAUGCGCAGAUAUCAGGAAGAACACCCGUGGCGAAGGCGGCUCUCUGGGACGGUACUGACGCUGAGACGCGAAAGCGUGGGGAGCGAACAGG
rnacentral:rRNA from 1 species